AAAGCAUAGUAACAAUACAGUGGAGAUCACUCCUUGGCCUUUUGGCUAAGAUCAAGUGUAGUAACAGUACAGUGGAGAAAAGCCCCACCCUGACUGAAGGAUAGAGAUGGCCAUCCCCCAGUGAG
rnacentral:miRNA from 1 species